CAUUCAAUUAACCAUCGUUUUGAUCGAUGAUGCAUAAUAGAAAUAUGCAUUCCUUUACUGUUUUUUCUCCAUAAGAUCCUUUUAUCACUCAUUAAAAUUUUGCAAGUUCUUGCCAUACCCGAAGCUUCCAUUAUCGCUGACUUCGCCGGAAUGCCUGCACCCAUGUUCCAGGUCUGCAGGAGGUGCCUUUGAGAACUUGAUCAGCUACUCGAGCUUCAUUGUCAGCGAAGUCUCCACUGGGUUGCCCAGAUCUGUCCUGAAUUGCUUCAUUGAUGACAAUUUGGAGAAGGCUCCGCUGACACUUACAAAGGAUGUUUUCCUUUGUUGGAAAGACGAGGAUACGCUGGAGAUAGACAUGGGGUGGUAAGAAAAUGAUGAGUUCCUGAUGAUAUUAUGCUUGCUGGUCUAAACCUACAUGUAUUAUGUCAGUUUGUUGUUAAGAGUAUCUUGAAAAUAUAAAGCCACUGGGUGGCCAGGCAUUCUAUACUAUCGUCUUUCCAAGAGCCCACAUUUCUGCAUGUAUAUAUUUGUUGUACAGCCUAUGCUGGUUUGCCUACAAUAAUUAUCAGAAGGUAAUAUGCAGCAGCCAAA